AUUGAACGCUGGCGGCAUGCUUUACACAUGCAAGUCGAACGGCAGCGCGGGCUUCGGCCUGGCGGCGAGUGGCGAACGGGUGAGUAAUACAUCGGAACGUGCCCAGUUGUGGGGGAUAGCUCGGCGAAAGCCGGAUUAAUACCGCAUACGACCUGAGGGUGAAAGCGGGGGAUCUUCGGACCUCGCGCUAUUGGAGCGGCCGAUGGCAGAUUAGCUAGUUGGUGGGGUAAAGGCCUACCAAGGCGACGAUCUGUAGCUGGUCUGAGAGGACGACCAGCCACACUGGGACUGAGACACGGCCCAGACUCCUACGGGAGGCAGCAGUGGGGAAUUUUGGACAAUGGGCGAAAGCCUGAUCCAGCAAUGCCGCGUGUGUGAUGAAGGCCCUCGGGUUGUAAAGCACUUUUGGCGGGAACGAAAAGGACUAUGCCAAUACCACGGUUCGAUGACGGUACCCGCAGAAUAAGCACCGGCUAACUACGUG
rnacentral:rRNA from 1 species